ACGGAGGGAGCUAGCGUUGUUCGGAAUUACUGGGCGUAAAGCGCGCGUAGGCGGCUUUGUAAGUUAGAGGUGAAAGCCCGGAGCUCAACUCCGGAACUGCCUUUAAAACUGCAUCGCUUGAAUCCAGGAGAGGUGAGUGGAAUUCCGAGUGUAGAGGUGAAAUUCGUAGAUAUUCGGAAGAACACCAGUGGCGAAGGCGGCGACCUGGGCCAAUACUGACGCUGAGGUGCGAAAGCGUGGGGAGCGAACAGGA
rnacentral:rRNA from 1 species